UACGAAGGGGGCUAGCGUUGCUCGGAAUCACUGGGCGUAAAGGGUGCGUAGGCGGGUCUUUAAGUCAGGGGUGAAAUCCUGGAGCUCAACUCCAGAACUGCCUUUGAUACUGAAGAUCUUGAGUUCGGGAGAGGUGAGUGGAACUGCGAGUGUAGAGGUGAAAUUCGUAGAUAUUCGCAAGAACACCAGUGGCGAAGGCGGCUCACUGGCUCGACCCUGACGCUGAGGCGCGAAAGCGUGGGGAGCGAACGGG
rnacentral:rRNA from 1 species